rnacentral:misc_RNA from 1 species
CAACAGAGCCGCUCCCCUCUCCUCGCCCCGCCACCGGGACGGAGAGCGCCCGCCGCUGCAUUUCCGGCGACACCUCGCAGUCAUUCCUGCGGCUUGCGCGCCCUUGUAGACAGCCGGGGCCUUCGUGAGACCGGCAGCGUGCCGUCCCUGGCUGCAGGGCUGCUCUUUGGCAGUCUAGCCGGCCUGGGUGCUUACCAGCUGUCUCAGGAUCCAAGGAACGUUUGGGUUUUCCUAGCUACAUCUGGUACCUUGGCUGGCAUUAUGGGAAUGAGGUUCUACCACUCUGGAAAAUUCAUGCCUGCAGGUUUAAUUGCAGGUGCCAGUUUGCUGAUGGUCGCCAAAGUUGGAGUUAGUAUGUUCAACAGACCCCAUUAGCAGAAGUCAUGUUCCAGCUUAGACUGAUGAAGAAUUAAAAAUCUGCAUCUUCCACUAUUUUCAAUAUAUUAAGAGAAAUAAGUGCAGCAUUUUUGCA